rnacentral:rRNA from 1 species
GACGUAGGGCGCGAGCGUUGUCCGGAUUUAUUGGGCGUAAAGAGCUCGUAGGCGGCUUGUCGCGUCGUCCGUGAAAACUUGGGGCUCAACCCCAAGCUUGCGGUCGAUACGGGCAGGCUAGAGUUCGGUAGGGGAGACUGGAAUUCCUGGUGUAGCGGUGAAAUGCGCAGAUAUCAGGAGGAACACCGGUGGCGAAGGCGGCUCACUGGCCCGAUACUGACGCUGAGGCACGAAAGCGUGCGGAGCAAACAGG